rnacentral:ncRNA from 1 species
GUGAGAGGGUCAUCAGAGUGGCGUCAAAGGCGUCCGCUAGUGAGGCGCCCCGGGGCCUUGCUACACUGUCAAAUUGCGGGGAGUCCCUGAAGCUUCAGCUACCGCAGCCCGCCGAAAGGCCUGGGCGCGCACCGGGGUAACGACCUUGGGGAUGGUAACAACGCUGAAGAUUGGGUUACCCGCAGCCAACUCCUACGGGCCUCCGGGCCUACGGACGCAGUUCAACGACUAAACGGCGGUGGGCCCAUCCGGGCUUAAGAUAUAGUCUACUCGCGCGCCGAAAGGCCGCG